UACGGAGGGUGCAAGCGUUGCUCGGAAUCACUGGGCGUAAAGCGGGCGCAGGCGGUCCAGCAAGUCGGGUGUGAAAGCCCGGGGCUCAACCCCGGAACUGCAUCCGAGACUGCUGGACUCGAGUACGAGAGAGGAGGGUGGAAUUCCUGGUGUAGAGGUGAAAUUCGUAGAUAUCAGGAGGAACACCUGUGGCGAAAGCGGCCCUCUGGCUCGAUACUGACGCUCAUGCCCGAAAGCGUGGGUAGCAAACAGG
rnacentral:rRNA from 1 species